rnacentral:snoRNA from 17 species
ACCAUUCUAUGAUGAAUUGUCCUUAGCGGAUUCCGAUGAACCUGAUGUUAAUUUGGUUCUCUGAGAACAUGCUAUGACAUGUCUGAAAUAAU